rnacentral:rRNA from 1 species
CCUACGGGAGUCAGCAGUGGGGAAUAUUGGACAAUGGGCGCAAGCCUGAUCCAGCAAUGCCGCGUGAGUGAUGAAGGCCUUAGGGUUGUAAAGCUCUUUCGCACGCGACGAUGAUGACGGUAGCGUGAGAAGAAGCCCCGGCUAACUUCGUGCCAGCAGCCGCGGUAAUACGAAGGGGGGCUAGCGUUGUUCGGAAUUACUGGGCGUAAAGGGCGCGUAGGCGGCCUGUUUAGUCAGAAGUGAAAGCCCCGGGCUCAACCUGGGAAUAGCUUUUGAUACUGGC